rnacentral:lncRNA from 1 species
AAACGUUAACUUUUAGAAUUAUAAAAGCCUACACUAUAAUUAAAAAUAAUGAUAGGUAAUCACCACAAAUAUUUUUCUAUUCAUGAAAAUACGUCGAGAACAAUUAUAAAUGUAUUAACAAAUAUUUUAUACAUUGAAAGUUUUAGUUUUAAAUUUUACUGUUAUAUAAUCAAGCCCCUGAUAAAUUACUUUUCUAGAUCCGCUACUGCAUCUAAUGGUGCAAGGGAAAUUUGGUAGUUCAUUCUUUUGUUAAUUAAUUAAAAAAAUCUUCACUUUCUCUCUCUGUUUCCUUUUUCGCUCUUCUUUAUCUUCUUUUUUGCUUAUUCAUCUUCUUCUUCUUUUUCUCCUUCUUUGCUUUUUGUUCGUCUUCUUCUCCAUUUCUUCAUUGUUUUCAUAUAACCAAGUGACGAACAUUACUGCCGCAACACAGCGUCACAUAACUUUGGCAUGACGUCAACUUCCACAUUGCCACCACGUGACCUAGCGCGUUAGCUGCUUCCAUUUGCCACACAUUUGACGUUGUCCAUGCCACCACCCAUAGCUGCCACAGCCCUUAGUUCUUUUUAAAAUUUAAAUCUCAAUUUAACUCCCAACUCAUGUGACAUUCAAUUAUUGAAUGUGAUUAAGUGAUUUUAUAAAUUAUAAAAUUUAUAAUCAAACAAAUAAGUGAUAAUUGGUACUACAACUCAACUUGAGAAUAAAAUAUUAUUAUCGAUUAAAAUUGAUUAAAGAUAUAUGAGUUUACUAAUUUAUAAAUUCUGUAAGCUAUAACUCACUCACAAACUUAAUUGCCCACAACCAAACACUAUUCAUGUGAGGGCUGUACCUUACAAAAUCUGUAAGGUAGCCCUCUCCAAAGAUAUAAAGUACUGAUAUUCUCAGUCACAUGACCGUCCAUCUCAUAACAUUAUGAACCAAUUAGAAUAAAUUGAUAAUUAUUCAUAGUUAACAAAUAAUGAUUGUAUAUGUGGAGACGAAAGUUAUAGAUCUUGGUGAUCCCCGCACUCAGUUGAUGAGUCAUGAAAUAAUUCCUUCACGCACCUUGACAUAUAUAAAGUAAGAUAACAUCUACAACUAACUAGUAAUUAAACGCGAAGUUCAUGGAUGUUGAUUCUAUUCUCGUGAACCAAGUAACUAUGUAAGUAUGUGUUCAUGCUAAUAAGAAAUAAUUGAAAUGAAAUUCAUUCAAAAACUAAUUAAAAAAAGAAAAAGAAAACAGAAAUAAUAUAUUAAGUCUAUACUAUAAUUAUCUUCUUUUUUUAAUGAGCAUUCUUUCUCUAUUAUUUUGAGUAUUUACAUGAGAACCAAAGUCAUCGGCUCAACCAUAUUUUAUCCCUGAGGCAAAUUAUU